rfam:Gossypium hirsutum cultivar TM-1 chromosome 5, whole genome shotgun sequence
CAUGUCAGCACGCUUUGCUGACGUGGCAACAAAUCACGCCCUCUAGGGUUUAGGGUUUAGGGUUUAAGGUUUAGGGUUUAGGGUUUAGGGCGUGAUUUACUGCUACGUCAGCAAAGCGCGCUGACGUUA